rnacentral:rRNA from 1 species
AUAUACUGGCGGCAGCUUACCAUGCAAGUCCAACGGUAGCAGGAAGAAGCUUGCUUCUUUGCUGACGAGUGGCGGACGGGUGAGUAAUGCUUGGGAAUCUGGCUUAUGGAGGGGGAUAACUACUGGAAACGGUAGCUAAUACCGCGUAAUAUCGGAAGAUUAAAGGGUGGGACUUUCGGGCCACCUGCCAUAAGAUGAGCCCAAGUGGGAUUAGGUAGUUGGUUGGGUAAAGGCCUACCAAGCCUGCGAUCUCUAGCUGGUCUGAGAGGAUGGCCAGCCACACUGGAACUGAGACACGGUCCAGACUCCUACGGGAGGCAGCAGUGGGGAAUAUUGCACAAUGGGGAACCCUGAUGCAGCCAUGCCGCGUGUAUGAAGAAGGCCUUCGGGUUGUAAAGUACUUUUGUCAGGGAAGAAAAGCACGGUGUUAAUACCAUUGUGUGAUGACGGUACCUGAAGAAUAAGCACCGGCUAACUACGUGCCAGCAGCCGCGGUAAU